rnacentral:rRNA from 1 species
CCUACGGGAGGCAGCAGUGAGGAAUAUUGGUCAAUGGGCGCGAGCCUGAACCAGCCAAGUCGCGUGAGGGAAGACGGUCCUAUGGAUUGUAAACCUCUUUUGUCGGGGAGCAAAAGACGCCACGCGUAGCGUUCCGAGAGUACCCGAAGAAAAAGCAUCGGCUAACUCCGUGCCAGCAGCCGCGGUAAUACGGAGGAUGCGAGCGUUAUCCGGAUUUAUUGGGUUUAAAGGGUGCGCAGGCGGAAGAUCAAGUCAGCGGUAAAAUUGAGAGGCUCAACCUCUUAGAGCCGUUGAAACUGGUCUUCUUGAGUGAGCGAGAAGUAUGCGGAAUGCGUGGUGUAGCGGUGAAAUGCAUAGAUAUCACGCAGAACUCCGAUUGCGAAGGCAGCAUACCGGCGCUCAACUGACGCUCAUGCACGAAAGUGUGGGGAUCGAACAGGAUUAGAUAUCCGAGUAGUC